rnacentral:rRNA from 1 species
GCAAGGGUGAGUAAUACAUAAGCAACCUACCCACGAAGACUGGGAUAAUCUCUGGAAACGGGGACUAAUACCGGAUAGG